GCAGGUCUCUGAUCAUCACACCGAGCCACCAUUAUUGCAGUCCCGUCAUUGUGAAGAAAAAAAUAAUUCGUGCAUUUUUUUUUACGUUUUUCUAAAAAAAAAAUUUUUUUGUUCAAUUUUUUCAUUUAUUUUCUUAUAAGAAAAGCAUAAAACAAAUAUAAAAAUAAACCAUAUACCCACCUAAGUUUCUAAAACAAAACACAAUAAACUGCUAAAAGCACAAAAAACACUAUAUAUAUAAAAAAUGGAACCUUCUAAUGAUUUCCCCGUUACUCCUGGCCCCUCAGGAAAUAAUGAUUUUCCCGUUUUACCUCCACCACCAUCUGCCUCGAAUCCAUCAUCAUUUCCCAGCAAUAAUAAUCAACAAAAUCAAGCCAAUAAACGUUUGCAACAAACACAAGCCAAGGUCGAUGAAGUUGUUGGCAUUAUGCGUGUAAAUGUUGAAAAAGUCUUAGAACGUGAUCAAAAAUUGACAGAAUUGGGUGAAAGAGCCGAUGCCUUAGAGCAAGGAGCAUCACAAUUCGAACAACAGGCUGGUAAAUUGAAACGUAAACAAUGGUGGGCCAAUAUGAAAAUGAUGAUCAUUAUGGGUGUGAUUGGUGUUGUUCUUUUGAUAAUCAUUAUUGUAAGUCUAUUUUAUUAAAGUUUAAAAGAUAUAGAAGCGAUGCGUUAUUUUUUUUAUAAAUCAAAACAAAUAUAAACAUAAAUAUAAUACCAACACAUAGAUAAAACAUUCCUUUCACUACAAAACCAACCUUUUCCCUUAUGCCUUCUGGCGGCGGCAGUAGCUCCGAAAGUUUACCAGCACCACCGGUGACUCAAGCUCCUCAUUAAAACAAAAAACAAUUUAAAGCCAAUUAAGUAAAUAUAAAAUAACAAUAACAGAAAGAAAUGUAUAUAAUACAGCUAUACACUAUUUUUAUACACAAAAUUUAUGAAAACAAAAAACCAGGAGCCUUAUUUACUAUAUACAACUAUAUACAAAAUUAAAAAAAAAAAAUUAACUGAAACUAAAAAUUAAAACUAUUUAAGUAUUAAAUGGUUAAAGGUUGCACAAAACCCUCUCCAUGAUAAAAAGUAAUAACCACCUUUACAUUUUUUACAAUUUCCUACAAAAAAAAAGUAACAAAAAUUCGCAACAAUUUUAUACAGUUAUGUAUACUAAAGGAAAAAAGGAUUACAUUUUAUAUAAAUAUUUAUCUAUAUACAAAACAAAACUUAAAAAUCUUAUGUGAGUGUAUGUUAAAUUAUAAUAUUAAUAAAAAAAAUACUUUACCUUAAAAA